UACAGAGGUCCCAAGCGUUACUGAGAAUCACUGGGCUUAAAGGGCGCGUAGGCGGGCCGCCAGGUCCGGGGUGAAAGCCUCCAGCUCAACUGGAGAAGUGCCUUGGAUACCGGCGGCCUCGAGGGAGGCAGGGGCGUGCGGAACUUCGGGUGGAGCGGUGAAAUGCGUAGAUAUCCGAAGGAACACCGGUGGCGAAAGCGGCGCGCUGGACCUCUUCUGACGCUGAGGCGCGAAAGCCAGGGGAGCAAACGGG
rnacentral:rRNA from 1 species